GACAAGGAGAAUUCCAAAGUGAGAAUGAGGUCCCAUUCUCGAAUAAAUUUCUUUAAGUUCUUCCUCACCCUGCUGACCUGACACAAAAGCCUGGCAGCCUAAAACAAGAGGAAUACAGCUGGUGUGUGGAAUGACUACUGGCCAAUCACCCAUUGUUGGAAUUCCCCAUGCAGAGGUCUGGUGUGUCUUGUUCAAUUUCCUCUUUUCUGAUCCUGAAACUUCCUACGUAAUAAAAAUUUUAAAGUCAA